rnacentral:siRNA from 1 species
GAUAGAAGAAAUGAGUGUGUU